rnacentral:tRNA from 1 species
GGACACGUAGCUCAGCUGGAUAGAGCGUCGGCCUCCGGAGCCGAAGGUCUGCGGUUCGAACCCGCACGUGUUCA